UUGGUCCUACGGGGCGCAGCAGUGGGGAAUAUUGGGCAAUGGGCGCAAGCCUGACCCAGCGACGCCGCGUGAGGGAAGACGGUCUUCGGAUUGUAAACCUCUUUCAGCAGGGAAGACAAAAGGACGGUACCUGCAGAAGAAGCCACGGCUAACUCCGUGCCAGCAGCCGCGGUAAUACGGAGGGCGCGAGCGUUAAUCGGAAUUACUGGGCGUAAAGCGCGCGUAGGCUGUUGUGUAAGUUGGGGGUGAAAUCCCACGGCUCAACCGUGGAACAGCCCUUGAUACUGCGCGACUUGAAUCCGGGG
rnacentral:rRNA from 1 species